GUUGAGGGUAUCUUGCUAAAGAUCCUUGCCUACCAGAGGCCUUCUAAGGGUGGAUUCGGUGAUUUCCAUGUCUGUGUGAUGCAUUACUUGGCACAUGAGCACAACACAUACCGUCACUUCAUCGUACUCAUCACUGACAACCCCAGCUCUAGGACAAGCAGAUGAAAAAUCAUCUCUACGCUGUCACUUCCCUUCUUCCUCCUGCACUAGUUCAAAGGUUCACACUGUUUUGCAUUGUCCAGCCAUCUCCCAUCAGGGCCUUUGCUGCUGUGACCCACGAGCACCUUCACCUGGCCUGUGCACAGAUCUAGAGGAGAUGGAAUGCAGUCUCGCAAAACACAGAUGCAAGGAGACCUCUGCAAACCCCUGUCCAUCAGCUGGCAGGAGGGGAACAUCUUCCGGCACAUCAUGUCCCUUAGACAGUGAGUGUCACAGGUAUGUAGGAAAUGCUGCAUAAAACUUGAUUAAGAUAAAGUAAAAUCUGUA
ensembl:lncRNA